rnacentral:rRNA from 1 species
AAACCAGCACCUCAAGUGGUCAGGAUGAUUAUUGGGCCUAAAGCAUCCGUAGCCGGCUCUGUAAGUUUUCGGUUAAAUCUGUACGCUCAACGUACAGGCUGCCGGGAAUACUGUAGAGCUAGGGAGUGGGAGAGGUAGACGGUACUCGGGAGGAAGGGGUAAAAUCCUUUGAUCUCUCGAUGACCACCUGUGGCGAAGGCGGUCUACCAGAACACGUCCGACGGUGAGGGAUGAAAGCUGGGGGAGCAAACCGGAUUAGAAACCCGAGUAGUCC